ACCCACGCGUACUGCACCCUAAUUUGUAGAAGAACAAAACAAACAGGCGCAGCUACCUUCACGACUUCACCCUCAUCCUCCAUCGAUCUUCGAUCUUCUUCACCCUCAUCCUCCAUCGAUCUUCUUCACCCUACACCAGGCGCAGCUACAUUUAGAGAGAGUUUCGCUGGAACCGUAGGCCACAGCCGCCGCCGCCGCCGCCGCCUCCAUUGGAGAAUGCCCACUGAAUAGGAAUCGAUCCCUGUCUCCAUCAGGUACACUUACUUACCCUCAAUUUCCAUCUUCUUCACCCUAAUUCUUCAAUUGAUUCCCUUAUUUACUCAAUCAGGUACACUUUCAUUGAAUUUUGUGGUUACUUUUUUGUUUAAUUUGAAAGAUUUAGGGUUUCUUUUUUUGGGUUUGGGAUUUGGUGAGAAAUUACGUGAAUUAGGUCACUAAUUUCCAAUAAUUUAGAACAAUGAGGGGGUGAGUGUGCGUAAUAUUUUGCUAGGGAUUAUGAAUUUGUUUUUGUUAAUUUUGCGCAGAUUUUUUUUGUUCUGACAUUGUGUUCAUUUGAAUGUUCUGUUGCAGUGGUUUGGCUAAAUUGAGUCUCGUUUGGGAGUAAGAAGAUUUACUCCGAUGGCGAAUAUGCCGGAGAAAUUGAACCAGUGUAAGCUUGAUGCUCGCCGUGAACAAUGCCUUUCGCAAGAGAGCAGGUUGCGUAGGUUGUACUAUGGCUAUCAUGAAGAAUGUUUUAAGGUGUCUUUCGGAUCUUUUACCUGUUUGCUGUUGCUUUUCUGCUGAUCUACCAGUCACUUUUCCAUCUAUUUCACCACCUUAGCUGCAAUUUUCUUCGAUGGAGGUUGUAGGAGUUGAAAUUCUCUCUCUGACAGAACUAUUAGCCAUUUCUUGGACUGGAUUUGGCUGUUGAUGAAAUGACUCUGCAUCAUAUUGUAGGAUUGCAUUAAGUGCUUCUUGUACUAACUUUAUGGCUGCAGUCUGUUGCAGUCCAAGUUUCUCUGUCUUUGCAACUUGGUCAUCAACUUCCUAGAGAUUGUUGUUGUUUUUACUCAGCUCCAUAUUCAAGUUACUCAUCUCAUGGCUAUUGUUUCCAUCUCCACUUUCUUUUUCAUCUGCUUGAAUGAUAUCUUGGGCCUCAUUCGUUUAUGGUUCACUUAAACUUUUAUGUUAAAAGUGUAGUUAGGUUAUCAACAUGUUGGGUGAUCUAUGGUGAUUUUGCCUUUUAUUGGGUUGUAACUAAAAUAUUA